rnacentral:piRNA from 1 species
UACCAGGAAUUUUUGAGGCCAUAGUGCUU